rnacentral:tRNA from 1 species
GCCUGGCUGGCUCAGUCAGUGGAGCAUGUGACUCUUGAUCUCAGGAAUGUGGGCUCUAACCCCACAUUGGGCA